CAUAAGUCUUCCCAAGUUUUAAAAUUUCGAUCAAGCUCUUCCCUGUAAAGAAAUUUAAGCAAUUCUGACAUCGCAUAAGCCAGGCCUAAGCUACGAAUAGAGUAUUAAGUAAAUCAGACAAAAGAAUAUUGUGCAAAUUGCUAAUUAUUAAGGAAAGAGCAUUACGUUGCGGAUAAGGUCAGGAAAGGGUCAAGAAUGGUACGCUCAAUGGACAUGUCUCUCUUGAUAAUAUGGAGUAAGAUUUUUCUUUUGCACCAUUCUUCUCCGCUGACAAGGAAAGCCUCUUUGCUCUUCGAGUCACUAAGGUUUACGAAUUCAUCCUAUGGUUGAGUUGAGGGGUUCUGCUUCUUGGUUUUUGCAGGACUUUGUUACUGUGGAAUAAAGGUAUGUAUAUGUACUGCUAAUAGAGUUUUAGUAUUGUAUUUUUCCAUAUAGUUAUUUGUGCUUCGGCCAAUGACAGCUUUCGUCUCUCUAUUCUUAUGA